AUAGCAUGCAAGAUGUGUGGUGGUGGUGUCUGAUGAGCAGUUCUGUAAAGCUGGGAGCAUCUUAUCACAUGAACAGCACAGGUACCACUAAUUCUACAAGGGCACAAACAUGUACUGUAGCAGUUUCCUGUCUUAACACUCUGUCCAUUGCAGCUAAGACAGGGCUGGGCAAUUGCAUCUCUCCAACUCUUAAUGAUUCCAGUUUUCAUCACUCUCAUUGAUUUGUAUGAGAACUCGUUUAAGUCACUCAAUUCCUUCGUGCAUUUACUGGUGACAGCGUAGAACCCCCACAAAAUUAUAACUAAGACCUACUGAUUAAAACUUGCCCAUUACCUUGUUAAAACCAAUCCUUCACGGAAUGUCGCCACUCACGGAUACAUUUUGAAGGUAUGCUGUGUCAUUUGCCAGGUUCCUAGCUUAGCUGAUGAGAGUUGCAGUUCAAAAGUUGCAUUUUAGCAGUUGCCCAAGUGUGUGUUAAUGCCGCUUUAGUGGCCUUUCACACCUAUGCCAACGCAGUUUAUGUGAGUCCAUGCAGUUUGUCCUCCGUCUUUCCACCUGUUUUCCGUAGGAGCAUAUUGUGUUUAACCCCUUCCCAGCUGAAAAGGACUUGCAAUACACACCGCACUGCAGCCCUUUUCAUCCACAAGGUUGAAGCCAUUUCCCUAUGUACUGUAAUUUUAUUUGGUUUUAUAAAACAUCAUGGUUAUUCUCUCUAUUUAUUUUUUUAAUUCUCUAGUCUGAAC